GCCCGCCUCCUCAGGUCCAUGUGAGCGGGGAUUACUAGGAGUGACGUCAGAGCCGGGAGAUCGCAGUGAUGGAGAGAUUGGUCUGAUGUGAAAUAGAGAUAGAGUGACAGCAUAUCCUGGAUUCCUGGAAUUGGCUCAUGUGUUUACAUGCUUGAUUAAUCUCUCGCUCUGCAAAAGGUCCUUGUCUGGACAUCUAAAGUCACCGCGGUCACAUAAUUGGCUCCGUUGUGAGACUGCCAGCUUGGAAAUGGACCCAAAGGCUUCAUCUCCGCAUAAGCAGGGCGUCAAAGGACGUUCAAAAUCCACAGAAGAGAUACAGCAGGCAAAAAAGGCUUUCCAUACACCUCAGAAAUCUCUGCCGAGUACCAGAGAGGAAAGCAAUGUGCAGGAUUCUGCUGCUACAGAUGAAAAUUCUCCAAAGACGAGAACAAGUGAAGGUCAAACGCAGAUCUGAUAUGAGGGAGUGCGUGUGAGAAAAUCAGCAAUGAGGCUUUCCAGCCUGUUAUCACUCAGUCUGUUUGUUCCUUGCUGUAACUUAGUGUACAGUAUGUGUGUGUGUGUGCCUCUUGUAGACAUGGGCACAUGUAAUGUAUGUAUAUGUUAAAUGUAUGUACCUAUCAUAUUAUUUCUAUUCUUCUGAUGAUGACCAAAAGGCUUCUGCUGGGUGUUUGAUUAUUAGAUGUCUUGAUGUUUGUCAUUACCUUAAAAACUAAAAUCUGUCCAUAUGAACUAAUUGGGACCAUUUUAACUGUAAACAGUGUAAUUUUUUAUGUACUGUUAUUUAGCAUUGGUACUUUUAUAUUGAAGAUGUUAAUUGUAUAACUACAUUAAAGAUACCUGAAAAUAUU